ACAACUAGACAGGCCUCUGUGCAACCACAGUGCCAUAGUCAUGCUCCUCGUGAAGAAACUCCUCCAGUACACAAAUGUAUGAAGUAGAAAGUAAAGACCCUUCACAAUCUCUCCCUCCAUCAAGAUAACCAGCGUUCAGAGUGUUUUCUCCUGUGAAGGAACAGUGUACCUAGAGAUGGAUCAAUAUCACACAUGAGAAAACACACACAAAAAUAGAAUCCAGUGCCUGGCACCUAGAAGGUUCGAUAAAUUUUUGUUGAAAGAAUGUAUAUACACAUUGAAUAAAUACAUAGGUUGUAGUUAAUAUGUAUCUGUUGAAUGAGUGCAUCUGUAGUUCUCAAAAUAAAUUGAUCUAUGUGUAAAUUUAAUAAAGUGAAUAAUUUACACA